rnacentral:misc_RNA from 1 species
AGGACCUUCUCGCCUUAAGGGCGCCUAGCCCUUUUGACAACACUAUUUCAUCUUGGCCUCUUCAAUCAUUCUUCAUAUAAUGUUGCUAACCUUCCUAGCUUUGAGGGCAUGGCACAAGUAUAUAUCAUUAACAGACAAAAUUAUAACAGCAAAUAGGGGUGGCCACGGUUCAGUUUCAAACCGAAACCGAACCGGUUCUGAAACCGGACCAAAACCAGUCAAAAUCAAACCGGUUUCGAACUGGACCGAAAUUGUCCUUCUAUGAUUUGGUUCAGGUUCAUAUUUUCCAGGAACCAUGAAUCGACGAUGCCAAACCGAAUUAAACCGACGGUUCUGAAUCAGACCAAACCGGCGAUUUAAAUACAAAAGAAUUCAAU